UUUUACCAGACCUAGACGAGGGUCCAAAGAGCAAACGGACGACAAGUUCCAAAGAAGAAAAUGGCAAGCCCUGUGUUAUCGGCUGUAAAAUACGCAAAUGUAACAAAAGGUUUCUUAAGAGAUGCUGUCAGAUGUGUCAGCACUACAUCUUCUCUCCAGUCUCCCAGGAGACCAAAGACAGGGGGAAAAAACAUUGUCCUUGUGGAAGGGGUGCGGACUCCAUUCCUUCAGUCUGGCACCACAUACAAAGAUCUUAUGCCACAUGACCUGGCCAGGACAGCUCUCAAGUUCGUCAAUAUGCCUCUGAAAAUCAAUGAAUACUGAUAAUUUUUUAAAAUUUACUUCAACAAGUAAAUUUAUCUUCUUGUAAAUUUUUAUCAAAAUGUGAAAAUCAAUGAAUACUGAUAAUUUUUUUAAGUGUACUUCAACAAGUAAAUUUAUCUUCCUGUAAAUUUUGAUCAAAAUGUGUUGUUUUUUUAUAUAUACUAGUAUAUGUUAGUGGAAAAAGUUGUAGCAUUGACUAACUCUGCAUUUUUUUCCAGAGGUCUUCUGAAAAGGACCGAUGUUAACAAAAGUAAGUUGAACAUUAAAAAGCUAAAUGAAUGAACAUUUGAUACAAUGUUUAGAACUACUUUUGUACAAAUAUGUCUUCUUACAAAUUAUCUUACUUUGUAUUCUCAGACAAAAAAGACUAUCUUUGCACAUAUUGUUAAAAUACCAUGUCUCUUUGCUUUAAAAAAAAUAUGAUUUGAAUUCAAUAGGGCAUUGGAACUUUAUAGCCUGUGAGCUGUAAACUGACAGUAUUCAGUAUAAUAAAACUGCAAUCUAAUUAAAAUUAGACGUUCUGAAUCUGCUACGGCUUCUCAAACAGUUGUUUGAGAAGCGAUAGUGGAUUCAGAACGUCUAAUUUUAAUUAGAUUGAAUAAAACUGUUUACAAUUGUUGCAUCUGGAAACUCUUUAGUCAUUGUCAUUGUGUAUAUUACAACCUUAGCUGUAAAUUUUAAGAAUUCUAAUUUAUGCAGGUUGUAUUACUGUACCAUUCAAAAAAGGUAUAUGUACAUGUACUACCAUUAAGUACAUGUGUUAAAGGUGUACCCUAGUACAUUGAUAAAAAUAAAAUCUGUCAACUUGUAUAAUCCUCUACAAUGUAAACAGUUUAUAGUGUAGUUAAUAAUGUACUGUAUACUGGUUGUUUAUAAAGUAAUACUGUAAACGUACUACAUUUGGCUGUGUAUUCUAUUUUGCGCUUUUGGCGGAAUGUGGCUUCUGCCAAAUCAAGUACAUCACUAAAUGCCAUUUAUAUAUGUUUAAGAAUAGUCAAAUUCAGGAAUGCGCUAAUUCAAAUCCACGCCAACUUGUUCAAAAACUAAAUUCCGCCAAAUAUCGUACAUGCAUAAUAUAAUACGUUUACAGUAAACUGUAUUUUCCUGUUAAGGUGAUGUGGAGUAUGUUGUGUUUGGAACAGUCAUUCAGGAGGUCAACACAAGCAAUGUUGCCAGAGAGGCUUCUCUUGGUGCAGGAUUCUCACAAAAGACACCAGCUCACACUGUAACACAGGCGUGUAUUUCAUCCAAUCAAGCCAUCACUACAUGCAUUGGUUUAAUUGCCUCUGGACAAGCUGAUGCAGUUAUUGCAGGAGGGGUGGAGACCAUGUCGGACGUCCCAAUCAGAUGGGGGAGGAAGCUGAGACAGAUGGCCCUCAAGAUGAACCGAACAAAGGGAGUGCAGAAUCAGCUCUCUCUUCUUUUCAGAACUCUGGCCUCCAAACCUGCCCUCCUGGAGAUCCCAGCAGUGGCUGAAUUCUCCACGGGGGAGGUGAUGGGUCACUCCGCAGACAGGCUGUGUGCUGCCUUUGGGAUCAGUAGAAUUGAACAGGUAAACUACAGAAAUCACAGCACAGAGCAAUAGGCAGAAAGAGACUCUAUUUAAUAUCUACAAGAAAUUUAAUAGAACAGAAAAAAGCCACAGAAUUAUUCUACAUAUGAUUUACCUUGUACAUUUAGCUUUUCAUACAAAUAUACAUUUUGUAAUCAUCUCAGGUUAAAUAUUAAUUACGUACAUGUACUUGUAUAAUUGACUUUCUAUUUUAAAUAACAGGAUGAGUAUGCCUUGAGGUCCCAUUCCAAGGCCCACUGGGCUUCUGAGAAAGGACUACUGUCUGAUGUCCUACCAUACAAAGUUCCAGGUGUGGCUGACACAGUGGUCAAAGAUAAUGGAAUCAGACCAUCCACCAUUGAACAAAUGAGCAAGCUGAAGGCAGCGUUCAUCAAACCCCACGGAACAAUCACAGCCGCCAAUUCUUCCUUUCUGACUGAUGGAGCGUCUGCCUGCCUGCUGAUGACAGAGGAGAAAGCCUUGGAGUUGGGCUACAAACCAAAGGCUUACCUAAGGGAGUUCGUCUACGUUUCUCAGGACCCCAAAGACCAGCUUUUGCUUGGGCCAGCUUAUGCCACACCCAAAGUGUUGGAGAGGGCGGGGCUAGCAAUGUCUGACAUCAGUGUGUUCGAGUUCCAUGAGGCUUUUGCUGGUCAGAUUCUGGCAAACCUAAAGGCCAUGGACUCUGAUUACUUCGCCAAGACCUACAUGAACAGAACUGAGAAGGUGGGGACACCAGACUUGUCCAAGUUUAACCUGUGGGGAGGCUCCCUGUCCAUCGGUCAUCCUUUCGGAGCCACCGGAGUGAGGCUGAUUACCACAGCGGCUAACAGACUGGCUGAUGAGGACGGACAGUUUGCUCUUGUAGCAGCAUGUGCAGCAGGAGGCAUUGGUCAUGGAAUGAUAGUAGAAAGAUACCCCCAGAAAUGAGAAGCUCAGUGAAUGAUGCCGAUUGUGAUAUAAACAGUGUCCCUGUGCUUGUGUGUGGUCAGGACAGGGUCGUCGGAGAGCAUAAUGAGACCACUACUGUACAGAUAUCAUUCUCAUAUUUAUUGCAUUAAACAUGAACUCAUCUUU
rnacentral:misc_RNA from 1 species